UUUUCGUUUUUCCGUUUCCAACGUUUGACCAUUCGUUUUAUUUGAAAUUUUUUGACGAUUAAUAUUUUUAUUGUUACUAGAUGAUAAAAUAUGAAUAAUACUUUAUACAUAACUAAUUUUUUUAAGUUUUUAUACAAAUUUUUCAAAUAAGACGAAUAGUCAAACGUUGGACACGGAAAAAC
rnacentral:pre_miRNA from 1 species